rnacentral:piRNA from 1 species
UCUGACAGUAUGUAGAAUUAAAUCACUCA